rnacentral:rRNA from 1 species
UAGUCUGGUGCCAGCAGCCGCGGUAAUUCCAGCUCCAAUAGCGUAUAUUAAUGUUGUUGCAGUUAAAAAGCUCGUAGUUGGAUUUCUGAUCGGUUCGUCUAUCCAGGUCCGCAAGGAUUUGUGUGUGACGCAACCUGUCAUCCUCAGGGGGACUGUUCACUGGCAUUCAGUUGUCGGUGUCGGGACGCCUGUCGUUUACUGUGAACAAAUUAGAGUGUUCAAAGCAAGGUGUUCUUGAAUACAUUAGCAUGGAAUAAUAAGAUAGGACUCUGACGGUUCUUUUUGAUAUUUUGUUGGUUUGCACGCCAGAGUAAUGAUUAAUAGGAGCAGUUGGGGGUAUUCGUAUUCAAUUGUCAGAGGUGAAAUUCUUGGAUUUAUAGAAGACGAACUACUGCGAAAGCAUUUACCAUGGAUGUUUUCAUUAAUCAAGAACGAAAGUUAGGGGAUCGAAGAAGAUUAGAUACCUUCGUAGUCCUAACCAUAAACUAUGCCGACUCGGGAUUGGCGAUCGCUUAUUAUCGGCUUCGUCAGCACCGUAUGAGAAAUCAAAGUCUUUGGGUUCCGGGGGGAGUAUGGUCGCAAGGCUGAAACUUAAAGAAAUUGACGGAAGGGCACCACCAGGAGUGGAGCCUGCGGCUUAAUUUGACUCAACACGGGGAAACUUACCAGGUCCAGACAUAGUAAGGAUUGACAGAUUGAGAGCUCUUUCUUGAUUCUAUGGGUGGUGGUGCAUGGCCGUUCUU